GGGCCCGCACAAGCGGUGGAGCAUGUGGUUUAAUUCGAUGCAACGCGAAGAACCUUACCAGGUCUUGACAUCCAACGAAUCUGCUUGAAAGAGCGGAGUGCUUUUUAAGAGCGUUGAGACAGGUGGUGCAUGGUUGUCGUCAGCUCGUGUCGUGAGAUGUUGGGUUAAGUCCCGCAACGAGCGCAACCCUUGCUAUUAGUUGCUAACAUUUCGGAUGAGCACUCUAAUGGGACUGCCCGUGACAAGCGGGAGGAAGGUGGGGAUGACGUCAAAUCAUCAUGCCCUUUAUGAUCUGGGCUACACACGUGCUACAAUGGAUGGUACAAAGAGAAGCAAGCCCGCAAGGUGGAGCAAAUCUCAAAAAGCCAUUCUCAGUUCGGAUUGGAGUCUGCAACUCGACUCCAUGAAGUCGGAAUCGCUAGUAAUUGCGAAUCAGCAUGUCGCAGUGAAUGCGUUCCCGGGCCUU
rnacentral:rRNA from 1 species